CGAGGCGUGGGCGUGGACUGGCGGCUGCGGCCGCGGAGGCAGGCCCAGGAGCAGCAGGAGCUGCAGGGAGACCAGGACGCCCAGCGACGGCGGAAAGGAGGCCCCGCGGCCGCAGUCUGAGGGCCGCCCAGCAGAUGUGAGCCGUCACUGACGCAGGGGCAGAAGAGCAGCCCCACAGCACCAUGUCCAGGGGGGUGACCCCACGGAGCCGGGGCCUCUCCUUCCUCUGAAGAGCAGGCACAGGAGGGGGCUGCUGUGGCUCCUCGGGUGCAGGGCCGUGCGGCUGUGGAGCUGCACGCUGGAGGCACUGUCCCGCGGCCUGCCGCCCCCGCCUUCCCCCAGCUCCCUCUCCUGGUUCUCAGCAUCUGCCAGAUAACAGCACCUGAACCCAACCAGGUGGGGGUCCAAGCGCCUCACCACCCUGCCCAGGGCCAGCCUCCCCAGCGACACAGCCCUGGGGAGUCAAGGAGGUGAGGGAGCUGGCCACCACAGCUUUGCAGGGAGGAGCUCAGCUUGCUUGACACUCAUUUUACAGCCAAGGCUGCUAGGCACCGGGGUGGGGGUGUGGCUCUGGCAGCCCCCCAGACGAAGCGGGGGCACUUACCAGCUCGGCAUCAGCCUUCGCAUCAUAGUACAUGACGUCUUCCUCCUGGUGGGGGAGAGAGGACGCGGUACUCUAAGCUCAGGGUCUCUGGAGGUGAGGCCUGGAAGCCCACCCCCACCCAGAGCUGCGUUCGGGGAAGGCUGGCUGGGCCCUGCCCCCCUGCAGACCGUCCUCCGGGGCCCCCACAGGCUCCAGGGGAAUGUGGUACCCCAGGUUAGCCCAGGGUCCCCCAGACUCCCCGACCCCAGGUCCAGGCUGCGCGCUGCGGCUGCGGGAGCACGGUCAGAGCCGGUCUGUCUGCAGAGACUGGCUGAGGCAGCGCCAGGGAGCCGGGAAGACAGAGAAACAGCCGAAUCUAGGCAAGAGCAAAAUGAGGACUCGGCACGGCAUCUCCCAAUUCCUUCUAUUAAAAAGCCUGCUCAUUAUGGGCAUGUACUUA